AGCACGCAAGCGCGCGAUUAUGCCAUUUUUAUCUUUUUAAAACCGGUGCUACCAACGAUUUCUUCCACCUGUGCGGAAUUAGAGUAACCAGAUAAAUAAGAUAUUACUAUUAUCCCACAACACGACGUGCUUUACCCACCGUAGCCGGUCCAACCUCUUUCCUCCAUCGACAAAACAACCGGUCCCGCAGGUUACCCCAUUUCCUUGCCCCAGAAUCCCACUAUAAAACUAUAAAGCUUGUUUCUGUAGAAUUCUCCGGGUAGUUAUCAAUCUCAUCAAAACCGUCAUCGUCGUGGUCUCCAAAACCGUUCUCUCGUCUUUGAUCUCUUUCGAUUGUGAUUCUAAAGAUUGAAGACUUGGAGGAUGGCAGCUAAUGAGGAAGGAGAGGAGAAUACUUCUCGUGGAAAUGAGUGGGAAGUUGUAUCACUUACAGCAUCAGCAUACGCUGCUGCUCCUGGUCCAGAAGAAGUUGAACUGAAAGAUGAAAACAAGGAUAAUGCACCCAAAGAGGAAGCAGAAAAUUCUCAUGCUGGCUUGCUGGAAAGACGUCACUUCGUCUUUCCAGCAAGCCAGCAUGAGAAUUUGCCAUUGGAGCCAGAUAAUAGUGAAAUUCUCGAUGAACAAGGCAGGGAGAGUGUUGCAUCUGAACUGGUUGUGGAAGAAGGGGAUAAAUCUGGUGGAAAGGCNNNNNNNNNAAUUUUAAACUUGAGGAGUUUAAUGUAUCUGAAGAGUUUCAUGGAAUACAGUUUUUUGAUGACAAGGAACAGAGUAUAUACGGUACAGAUACUUUUGGUUCUUUCCACAGUGAAACUGGACUUGGUGGAUCAGCUACAUAUGGGGAGAACCUAGUGAUUCCUGAAGUAAAUGAACAGGCUGAAGAGGAAUUGGAUUACUCCACAGACAUUGUUCACUCUCCAAAGUCUGCUAAAGAUGGUAAAUAUGAUGGGUCUGACCUUCCAUGUGAAGCUUGGUGGAAGAGAAGGGCAGCUUCCUUGUAUACUCAUGUAAAAGAGACAAAUGCAUUUUGGUCCAUUU
rnacentral:misc_RNA from 1 species